UACGGAGGGUGCAAGCGUUAUCCGGAUUCACUGGGCUUAAAGGGUGCGUAGGCGGGCAGGUAAGUCAGAGGUGAAAUCUCCGGGCUUAACCCGGAAACUGCCUUUGAUACUAUCUGUCUUGAAUAUGGUGGAGGUAAGCGGAAUAUGUCAUGUAGCGGUGAAAUGCUUAGAGAUGACAUAGAACACCUAUUGCGAAGGCAGCUUACUGCGCCUAUAUUGACGCUGAGGCACGAAAGCGUGGGGAGCAAACAGG
rnacentral:rRNA from 1 species